rnacentral:lncRNA from 1 species
GUUGACAGGUCUUCAAGAACAAAUUUUCGUUUCCAGCUGGACUGACUCACCUAGAGGAACUUUCUGUUCACAUCACCAGUGCAGAUAAACUUUGAGGCAGGUCGGGAGGCAUUUUAUACUUUAGGAUCGUAUGGGCACUGGCAUUUCAUCUUCUAAAUGAAGAUGUAUUUGUGGCUACUAUCACCCUCAUGGGAGAAUUACGGAGGUGCUCAAAAUUAUGAGAAACAGGAAAAUUUUAAUAUUUCACUCAUGUGACUUCUACAUUCCUGGAAAUUGGAAAAUGUUACUUUCUCUCCCUGCCUUGCAAAUUUCCCUCUUGAAUCUUUUCACUGUUAGUGGAUGUGGGAGGUUAGAAGGGAGGGGGUGAGAGCUGUCUGCCCUGAUGCACAGAGCUGCCUCGAGUCCCCACAAUUAGGACUCACAUAUCUGUGGUUUGCUGUGGCCACGGCAAGCUUCCUAUCUUUGUGGCAAGAAAAGAUGCCGAGUUUGGAGGUAUAUGAGAGUGAGGUAUCAGGUGGGAAGGAGGUGGUCUGAGGUUGAUUCACUGUAGAGCUGAUGAAUCUUCACCUCUGGAGCCUCAUUGGCACAGGCCUCUUCAGGAGUUAUGGGGGUAAGGAGGGAGUGUUCUAGCAAUUGUGCAUCUGUGAUUCGGCAGUUUUUAUUUUUUAAGAUUCACCCCCACCCCUCCCAAUUGCAUAAGCUUUACCAGUAAUACAGUAAAAUCCCUCGAAUCCAUGAUUUAUUCCUUGCAGAGGAAUCAGAAUUCUCCAAAUUGGGCCAUGUCGGAAUCCCCUGGGAAGCUAUAAUACAUGUCACACCCUCCCACCGGGCCAGAGCUAGCAGUCCGAGGGGCAGGGUGACACUGGGGGUCUUCUACAUAGGGUGUGGCCCCACCCUAUGCUGAACUCUCCUGAAGUCCAAGCCAGUGCUCAGCUGGUUCUUACCAGAGCAGAUGGGCAGCAGUGGCUCUGCCACCACACCAGGUGUGGCUACCAAAAGGUUGGGUGUCCAGGUGCAUAGUUGAUCUGGAUCCACAUGCAGCCUUCCUCUUGCCCACUGCUUACCCCCCUGCCAGUUGCCUCAUUCAUAGCUUUGGACCCAGCUCCUCACCUCCCAUCGCCUGUCCCUGCCUAGUCUCAAAUGGAGCCACAGUGCCAGGGCCUGCCUGGCAGAGGCUGAAGCUUGGUGCUUGGGGUUUCAUGAGUAGUCUUGUCCCAACCUCCCCAGACUGCAAGGUUGUGGGAGCCUUUGUGUGCCUCCUGGGACCUCCCACAGCUGGGAGCCUUCCCAUGUGCCCAUCUGCGGAUGUCCCAGCAUGAAUGUAAGACUGAGUCUUCUCUGGUUAUAGAUGGCCACACUAUUGGAGAUGCCAAGACAGUGGCCACUAAAGGCAGCUGGAGGAGAGUGUGAAGCCAGACUGUGGUCAAUUUGGUGUGCAUUUCAGAGUGUAGAGGCCUUGAUUUGUUCCCCUGGUCUAGGAGUUUAUGACCUGGGUUCAACCACAUUCCUUUAGUGGCCCCUCUAGUUUUAUGAAAAAAAUGGUUAACUGUGAGUUUGCUCUUUAAAUCACCAAUCAUCUGUGUCCGUUUAAAAAUAAAGCUAUAGUUCCCUAAGUUUGUAUUACUGAGAGCAUUAAAAAAAAUCCUUCAUCUUAAGCAAAUAAGACUAUUUUGCAUUAUGAAAUGGUGUAUUUGGGGCUAGGAUGGCCACAUUCCUACAUGCAUGUAAAAUAUAGAACAAGAUAUCCAGAUACAAUUUUAGGUGAAGAUCUGAAUUAGUCCCAGUUUUGUUUCAUAAUUCAUUUUAAUUUGGUGAAUUUUAAAACAUUUUUAAAAGCCUUUGACAUGUUUCUUGAUUCUAACAAUCCUGCAUAUUCAAAACAUGUUAGAUGGCCAAUGCGAAGGAGGAAGCCUUACUGUGUAAAACCAGAACUUGACAAUGGGAGCGUUAUAGAAUUCACAGAUCUUUGUUCCAAUGGGAAUGCUUCUUUGCUUUUUGUGUUCAUUCUCCUCAUCGCCCUUUCUUGAACCAGUGUCUGCAUUGGCAUCCUGGAAAACAGAGAACAGCACACAGCAAGCAGGUUGCUAAAUGGGAAAUGCACAGUAUUUAACAGAUAUUUUUUUAAAAAAUAAAGAAGUAUACAAAUUUCCCCAAUUACUAUGGUUUCUAAAUUCAUGGUAAGAGAAAUCUCAACAAUUUUGAGAAUGAAAGUCAAUUGAUACUGUUAUGGUCAGGGGUAUCACUGACCACAUUUUCCUCUUCUUUUUCUUUGCCAUCUUCAUUUUCCUUGGAUGUCUGAUAUGAGAAGUCAUCAUAUGUGCGAAAUUCCAAAAACAAGAUGGUAGGGGGAAGAAGAAUCCCCAUUAUAACCUAUAUGGGAUGAUAAAAAAGAUUUUUUUUUUAAUUUUUAGAUUUCUAAGCUAUGGCAAUUCUAGAAAAUUUUCCUAGUAUACAUAAAAAUUUUAAAUUAUGACCUUCAGCACCACUCAACAAAUUGAUUUGUCCUAAAACAGGUUUAUCUCUGCUCUGAUGUUCUGUGGCUUAUUCUGUUUGAUACACUGAAUAAGAGUUGGUAGAGUUGCAACUGAAAACUGUAAGUACUUUCAUCACAUUAUUUUAGAUAGACAGCAAGCAGUAUUGUGUGGAAUUGUGUCUUAAAAGCAAAGAGCUUAUAUUGAGUUUCAAAGCGGGUAAAUCUUUAAAUUAAAAUAUAAUAAAUGAGAACAAAUAAACAAAAUAUAGUAAUACUGAUAGUGAAGUAGAUAAAAAAUAUUUUAUGUAGAAAUAACUGAUGUGUAUCUCCAAUAUUAUUUUUAAAUAAUAAAAUUAUUGUAAUAGUAUAUUAUCAUUAUAUUAUUAAAUAAAAGUAUUAUAUGAUUAAAUAAUAAAAUAUUAUAGUAUAUCAUUAAACAAUUAACUAUUAUAAUAUUGUACUAUUAAACAAUAACUAUUAUUUAUAUUUAUAAAUUAUAUAUUUAUUAAAUAUAUAUGUAUAUAUGAAUAUUAAUGUUAUAUUAAAUAAUACAUUUUUUAAUUUUAAAAAAUGUUUAUUUUAGAGAGAGAGAGAGAGAGAGAGACUGAGAGUGAGAGAGAGAGAGGGAGACACAGAAUCUGAAGCAGGCUCCAGGCUCUGAGCCUGUCAGCACAGAGCCCAAUGUGGGUCUCAAACUCAUUAACUGCGAGAUCAUGACCUCAGCUGAAGUCGAACACUUAACCAACUGAGCCACCCAGGUGCCCCCUCAGUGAUACAUUGUUAAGGAUACCACAAAAGGGCUACUUCUACCGUACAUUAAAAGUUAUAUUACAAAAAAUCAGUAAUUAAGAUAGUAGGGUGUAGGUGCAUGAAUAAACCAAACAAAGAAAUAGAAUAGAACGUCUCUUUUGGCCAGUGGAAGCCUCUUCGAGUGGGCUCCUCUGUCCCCUGUUCUUACCCUACUGAUCUUUGAUAGCUUCUUUGCCAUCUGGUAUGUCAAGAUGUUCUAGGCUUAUCUUGGAAUUUUCUUGCUCCAGAUCUGGAACGAAUCAUUUCUCCAAGAAGUUCUGGCCCCAGUUAGUGGGAAAUGGUAUUGCAAGACCACAAUCUGGGCAUUGGAGAUGUUCACUGCUUUUCAGUAGGUCAUUGUGUCCAGGCUUUUCAUUGCUCAGAGAUGGAAUGAGUUUGUACUGAUGCUUCCAUUUAAACACUAUAGGCUUUUCAUUUACCCCUUUCUAGACCAUAGCUGUGUUUCCUUUUGCUACACACUGAAUCCUAGUUCUAAAGGACAGACAUGAUAGAAUUAAAAUACCCCUUGUUAUUCAGUUGCUUUAUAGUUUCAGAAUAACAAUGUUAAUACUACUGCUAUUGAUUAUGAUUACUGAAGAGUUACUUUUUUUUUUUUUUGCAUAGGUGUUUCAAUUCUCUCCUCUUUUUUAAAAAGGUUGUAUUAUAUCUAUAUUAUCAGAACACAUAGCCAUUGCAUACUAUACUCUCUCCCUCUUAACCCUCCCCUAGUCUCAGCACUAUAUGUAAAUAUAUAUCUGAGGCUUACCAUUAGUCCUUAUACUGAUGCCUCUUUGGUUACUGUGGUUCUUGGAAGCUCAUUACCUAAUAGAGUCUUUAGAAAGGGCUCAUAAGAACAAUAUUUCCUGGGGUCCUUGCCUGUUGGUAAUGGUUUUUGUAUACCUUUUAUAUUUAACAGUCACUUUUGUUGGAUAUAAAAUCCUGGUCUGUCAUUUUCCUUCUGGGAGUAUCUUUAUAUGACACACUCCAAUUUUUUCUCUGACACAAGUGGUUGCUGCUGGAAGUCUGAUUAUAAUCUAAUUUUCUUUUCCUUAUAAGUAACUUUCACUUUGGUUGUUGUUGGUUUGCCUGGAUGCCCAGGGAGUUUUUUCUUUUUCAUUAAGAUCCAGUAAUUUAAAAAUGUGUGUUGAUGUUGGUUGUUCUGGGUUGAUAUAUGUGUCUAGAAAGUGUUUUUUUUCAAUAUGUAAUUUCAUAUCAUUUGUCUUCAAGAGGUAUUUUUGAAUCAUAUUUUGAGAUAAUCACUUUUAACUAUUUCUGAUUUUAGUUUUUUUUAUAGCUUCAUAUUUUUAACAUGAGUGACGUUUUAUAUUGCUAUUUCUUUGUUAGUUUAAGUACUACCUAUUAACAUCCUAUUUUUUUAAUGUUUAUUUAUUUCUGAGAGAGAGAGAGAGAGUGCACAAGCAGGGGAGGGGCAGAAAGAGAGGGGGACAGAAGAUCUGAAGUGGGUUCCGCACUGACAGCAGAAAUCCCAAUGCGGGGCUUGAACUUGGGAACUGCAAGAUCAUAACUUGAGCCCAAGUUGGAUGCUUAACUGACUGAGCCACGUAGGUGCCCUGACAUCCUAUUAUUUUAGACAAGACUUGAUCUCGUUUCAUCUAUUCCUCUGCUCCCAUUUUUAAUAGCCACAUGAAUGUUUUCAGUUCCUACAAGGUUAUCUUUGUAACUUUAUAUCAUGAACUGAAAUCUUUUUCUCUUGUUUCAACAACUGUUGAUAGUCUCGAUUCCCCACAUUAUAAUAUGGGAUAUUAUCCUUCUCACCACCCUCCCUUCCUCCUUCUACCACCCAGUUUUUCCCAGCUGUGCCUUUGAUUCUUGUAUUUUCUUUUUUUAAAAAAAAUUUUAACAUUUAUUUUUGAGAGAGCGAGACACAGCACAAGUGGGGGAGGGGCAGAGAGAGAGGGGAGACACAGAAUCUGAAGCAGGCUCCAGGCUCCAAGCUGUCAGCACAGAGCCCCAUGUGGGGUCAUAGACUGCGAGAUCAUGACCUGAACCGAAGUCAGAUGCCUAACUGACCGAACCACCCAGGUGCCCCUGUAUUUUCUUUUUUUAAAAAAUGUUUAUUUAUUUAUUCUGAGAGAGAGCGAGUGGGGAAGGGGCAAAGAGAGGGCAAGAGAGAGAAUCCCAAGCAGGCUCUGCACUGUCAGCCCAGAGCCUGAUGCUGGGCUUGAUCCCACAAACCACGAAAUCAUGACCUGAACUGAAACCAAGAGUUAGAUGCUCAACUGACUGAGCCACCUAGGUAGGUGUCUGCUUUUUGUAUUUUAUACUUGGUGGCAUUUGUAUUCUGUUUAAGGAAUCAUAUUCGAGUCUUCAGUGCUUUGUCUAUGGGACUAUUCCAAAAACUGAAAAACCAAUAAAAAGCAUUUCCAUUUUUAUUACUAUAUAAAUAUUGUUUAUUGUGUGGCCAUAUGGCAAUUUUAAUGCAGAAUUCUGGUACCACUAAAGGAUCAUGUUCUUGAUAUCAGAGGUCAAAUGGUCUUUUUUUACACACUACCAGUUGCUCAAAAUCAUUCUGAGUUUUAAUUUGAAUCGUAACUGAGCCUUAACUUUUGUGUGCAUUUUUGUUUUACUUGAAAUCUGAUCCCCCUUCUAUGUUCUCGUUAAUUUUCUUGUUAAGAAACUGUUCUUGUUUCCUUGACCUUUAUCCCUGACACUUGUAGCCUCUUGGUCAUUCCAUCUUAUUUAUUGGACUCAUUUCUGUUCUUCUUGAUUCCUUCCUUCUUGGAUCUCACUGACUCCUUAUACUCAUUUAAUCUGACAGACUUUUAAUCCCACUGUUCAGUUUUCAUAUGAGGGCAAGGCAUAACAUUCAUGUUAUUAAGAAAUGAAAUGCCUUCUAUUUGCCAGAACCACACUACACAAUAUAACAUAAGAUGUCUUUACUCUCAUGGAAAUCCCAUGAGAUUGGCAUAAUAUUGCCGUGAGGGAGCUGGAUUAUUUGAAGAUUAGAAUCUUUUCUUACCUACUAGUUAACAGUACUAAACAGCAGAGCUAAGAUUUGAUCACAAUACAAUUUGUACCGACUACAGCCUUUCAAACCCUACUAUAACUUCAUAUUCUCUUAUAAACCCCAUAUAAUGAAAUGUUGCCAAUUAAAAUAAUAUCACAUAAUUUCAGGGGCUCCUGGGUGGCUUAGUUGGUUAAGUGUCCGAUUUUGGCUCAGGUCAUGAUCUCACGGUGCGUGAGUUUGAGCCCCACGUCGGGCUCUGUGCUGAUAGCUCAGAGCCUGGAGCCUGCUUAAGAUUCUGUGUCUCCCUCUCUCUCUGCCCCUCCCCUUCUAAUGUUCUGUCUCUCUCAAAAAUAAAAAUAAACAUUAAAAAUAUAUAUAAUCACACAGUUUCAGAGUUGUAACAGGAUCUAUAGAAACAGAGUUCAGGUGCCUGAUUUAAUGGCAGGAAGAUGGCCUGUCCUGGGAUGUGGUUAGUUAGGGUGAACUCCAAUCUCUGUGAGCCAGGCACACCAGUUAGGUCUGGCAUUAGGCCACCUGGGUUCAGGGCCUGGACCCACACCUUACCAGCUCAGAUCCUAGACAAGUCAACCUCGAAGCUUCAGGUUUUUCAUCUGUAAGGCAAGCAUCUCCCUCAUGGGGCUGUUCAGAGGAAUAAAUGAAAUAAUCCACAGGAAUGCCUGGCUCUGCAAGGUGCAGAGUAAGAGCUCACACAGGUGUCAUUUGUUACCAUUAUGACAAUAAGCCAUACGUACUUUUAGGCCAGGGUUUUUCCUCAUUCGCAGCCUUCCCAUCCACAUGUCUGUCAGCAGCAUCUGGCUGCAGGUGUGAGCAAUGAAGUCCCGGUGUUUGGCCGCCACUGCCAGCUUGAGGCAGGUGGAGUUGCUCCAGUUCUUCAGCUCAUAGGUCAGCAGUUUCAUGGCAAUCUGCUCAUCGUGCUUAUAGGACUGGUCUAACAACUCCACGGCAAGCUGGCCGAAGUCUCUGAAGGGAAGGGAGCACAGUCAGAGCUGACGCUGCAGUGGCUACACACACUGUGAGAGAGACAUAUCCACAGACACAUCAUGGAGCCCAGGACACAGAAUCCUUGAUUUCCAAUCCUCUGCAUACCCCAGAAGCUCCCAGGGUAUGUUGCCAGGUGGGAAUGGCUGGGGCCAGGGCUCUGUGCUCAGUUGUGUUGGGGGGCUGACUGCUCUUGCUGCAAAUGGAGUUUAGAUUGACCCCAAAUGUGCCUCUCAGGCCUCAGGCACUCAGAGACGAGAAGACAAAGUUCUCUUCCCUCAAGUCUUCACAGAACAGGGAUGCAGACAGAAAGGACAGCAAAGCUCUAUGGCAAUAGAGUCAGAAUAAGGACUACCCUUUGUGGAGGGUACAGGAAAGGGGACACCAGGAAUACUGGCAGGUCUGGGUAAGGUCCCGUUUCUUCAUCUAGGUGCUGGUCAUCCUGGUGUGUUCUGUUUGUGAACGGUCAUCAAGCCAUACAUUUGUAUGUGUGCCUUUCCCUGCCUGUGUGCAAUACUUCAAUAACACAAUGGUCACAAGAAAGUUCAACGUUCCUAGGGCUAUGAUAGAGACAAGUUCUAGUUGUCAUGGGGGCCUAGAGCAGUGAGGGCCUAGUGGUUGGAGGUGGAGGAGGGGGAAGUAAUGGGAGCCAAGUUGGGGGAGAGGAGGAGAGGAUGGCAAGUUGAAUUAUAAACAUAAACUUUAUUCCAUUUUCUACAUGGCCCUCAUUCAACAUUCAAUGACUGUUGUAAACAUUCCCUGUACCUUCAACAUUUUUCAUGGAAUGUGGUUAAGAUGAAGUCCCAGAGUGAUCGCCCCUGUUUUUGUUUCUCCAUUUUCUGUAAGAUUUUAUUCCAGCUAUGAGCUGAGGGAUGUAGAAAGGAGGAAUUCUGUGUGGAGGAAUGGCCUUGUAUGUUACCUGAAGAGGAAUGCUCUCUGGCCUCAGGUCCCACAGGCUGUGAGGUGACACAUUACCAUGACAAUCCUCCAAGAAGCAGAGGGAUGGUAUUUACCAACCCACUGAGAUGGGAACAUCUCCCAUUUUUUAGAUAGGCUUGAAUUCCCAAUGUUUAGAAGUCAACUAGUGACUUUAGAAAUCAUUGAGUCCAAAAUAAAAGCAGUGUGCUUCAGAAAACAAAGAUGCUGGAUGUUGGCAGAAUUGCUUGGUUACACCCCAAGCUCAUGAGUCUAUAAAGUUGUGCUGGGACUUCUGGUUUUUAGUUCUGCAUGGUAGGGGCUUGGAAGUCACCAUUCUGUGCUAACAUUAAGCACAAAGUUAGACAAACUGAAAAUCAACAACUCUUCUAAAUUCAUCAGAGAAUUGAGGUCACAGGGCAAACUGCUGCUCCCAUAACUGUAGAGAUAGACCAGCAGAUAUAGAAACUCAUGACAUACCAGAGCAGAAACCUCUGGAACCAGAGCUGGGGCAGGAAAACUCAAACUGUAACUGAUAAAUUGUUGGAGGCUCUGUGAGGACAAGUCUGAGACUUAAUAACUCCAGGGGAGGGGCCCAGUCUUAGGGAAGUGUGCUCACGUUUUUGUGAGUUUUACCUCCAAGAGCUCCACCAAGUUCUCACAGAGAUGAGAGAGAAAUCCCCUCAUGCUGCCAGCACAGGGAGGGGAAAAGGAACCAUUCUGAAAUAUGUUGGUGUACUCUGGUCUCCUUAACUAGGCCUGCCUGAAGGAGAAACAAGUUAGCCAGAGCCUACCCUAUUGGGGUAUUAUUAGAGCCUAAUGGCCUGUGGGAAGGGAGGUGCCCAACUGCAGGCCCCUCAGGCUGUCCUGUCCCAUCUAAGUUGGAGAAAAACUGAGAAGCACUUGGAAAGUAUAAAUAAAAAAACAAAACAAUGACAGUCUAGAAAUACCACAGAGAGAAGAAAAAAUAUGAAAUGAUAGACAAAAUGAUUUAUGAACAAGCUUUAAGGAUAAUUGUACUUGGGGUGCCUGGGUGGCUCAGUUGGUUAAGCGUCUGAUGUCAGCUCAGGUCAUGAUCUUGUGGUUCAUGGGUUUGAGCCCCUUGUCAGGCUCUGGCUGGCAGCUCAGAGCCUGGAGACUGCUUCGGAUUCUGUGUCUCUCCCUCUCUUUGUCCCUCCCCCACUUGCGCUCUAUCUCUCUCUCUCAAAAAUAAACAUUAAAAAAAAUGAAAAAAAAAAAAGAUAAUUGUACCCAAGUGAAAAAUACAUUUGCCAACCCUCCCCCAAAGGGACAAGUACUCAGGACAAUAGUUUUUCCUGGUUCUUAAAUUCCCUUCAGACACUAACUUUGAAUUGUUGUCCAAAUCCUGGGAGAUGUCAUCUACCAGCUCGCUCUCAGAGGACUCGUGGGCCAUGGACUUGUAGAGCUUACAGGCGACCAGGGCCUUGGCCAUGCUCUCCUCGCCUCGCUGCCAGAGGAAGACCGCCAUUUUCUGGCGUUUCAUCAGCACGGCCCACACCAUCAGCUCGUGGAAGGGGUACUGGAACCGACUCACAGCAGGGUCAUCCACAUCAAUGUCGAUCUCUUCCUCCUUCUUCUUCUUUUUCUUUUUCUUCCCUUUGGCUGGAGGCUCAUCAUCCUGAGGGGAGACAAGCACAUUUUUCCUGGUUCUGCCUUAAGUGUGCAACAAUGGAUUUC